ACUUACUUUCAGGAGCCCAGACUAUUGGUCCUCUGGACUGAACACUGGACCAGCAAAGUUAUGAUACCAGCAAUUGCAAGGGUUUAUCUCAUCUGGAAAAGUGCUCACCCAUUUCUGCCCCUUACAAGCCAAACCAAGCAGUUAAAGUGUCACUUAACAUUCUAGAGAAUGUGAAAUAUAUUGUACAUUGUCAACUCCCCAAAACCAUAAAACUAACUUUAUGGACCUCACGUGACUUUUGAGAGCCAGUGAGGGGUAUCUGUCUGAGGUCUGGGCGAUUUUUACGAUCUAACUUCUAGAUAAAACCCUAUCCAUUUGACAUCUAAAUGUCAUACCUACUUUUGGUAUAGUUUGCUAUUGGUAAAAAUAUAUAUAGGAGAGCUAUAUAUCAAGGGAAGGCGAGCAAAUGGUUUUGGAUCUGACAGUCCACCUCACAUUCUUCUCAAAAUCACUUAAGAAGUACCUAAACAGUGGGAGAUUAAGUUUGAGUUUUCCUUUGUGUAUGGAGUGGACCCAAACCUACGCAGAUCUGUUUUAUUGGCAUGGGAACAUGAGAUUAAAAGAGAAACUUGACUGUCUAUUGGGGAAAAAAAAAACCCUCCAUUGAACACAAUGAAGUUAAUUGCUUUGCAGGAGGCAAACGCUCAGACAUUUGAUUAGAAAGUUACGCAAAAUUUGUAUAAGAGUAAAAUCAGGAACAUCUGGGAUGAUUUGCACAGCAUGUGGAAUCUGGGCUAUGAAGUAUGAAUUCCUGAUAAUUAAAUGAGUGAGUAAAAUCGCUGAAAACGUUUUCUUUACUUCUUUUUAAUGAUGUUAGUUGUGAAAAUGGUCUUCCUUAAGUAUGUUUAAAGACUGUUUCCCCCACACAUGGUGAUGUAGCAUUUCUAUGAAACACAGCUCAAUUUAGCAUGCUUGUGGCUAAGGCUAACUUGUCCUGCCUUUUGUCUGUCGUAAUUUUUAUUUUUAUUGUGAAAGAAAAAAAAAUAAAAUUCAUUAAUUGAAAC